rnacentral:rRNA from 1 species
AAUCCAUAGGUUAAUGAGGCGAACCGGGGGAACUGAAACAUCUAAGUACCCCGAGGAAAAGAAAUCAACCGAGAUUCCCCCAGUAGCGGCGAGCGAACGGGGAGGAGCCCAGAGCCUGAAUCAGCAUGUGUGUUAGUGGAAGCGUCUGGAAAGGCGCGCGAUACAGGGUGACAGCCCCGUACACAAAAGCGCAUGUGCUGUGAGCUCGAUGAGUAGGGCGGGACACGUGGUAUCCUGUCUGAAUAUGGGGGGACCAUCCUCCAAGGCUAAAUACUCCUGACUGACCGAUAGUGAACCAGUACCGUGAGGGAAAGGCGAAAAGAACCCCGGCGAGGGGAGUGAAAAAGAACCUGAAACCGUGUACGUACAAGCAGUGGGAGCACAGGUUUACCUGUGUGACUGCGUACCUUUUGUAUAAUGGGUCAGCGACUUAUAUUCUGUAGCAAGGUUAACCGUAUAGGG